CAGUAGCCACGGUAAUGCGUAGGGUGCGAGCAUUAAUCGGAAUUACUGGGCGUAAAGCGUGCGCAGGCGGUUUUGUAAGACAGGCGUGAAAUCCCCGGGCUCAACCUGGGAAUGGCGCUUGUGACUGCAAAGCUAGAGUGCGGCAGAGGGGGAUGGAAUUCCGCGUGUAGCAGUGAAAUGCGUAGAUAUGCGGAGGAACACCGAUGGCGAAGGCAAUCCCCUGGGCCUGCACUGACGCUCAUGCACGAAAGCGUGGGGAGCAAACAGGAUUAGAUACCCGGGUAGUCCCUGUCUCUUAUAC
rnacentral:rRNA from 1 species